GUGGGAGGGGGCUUGCCCCCGAUAGCGGCAGUCCAGUCAGAGAUUUGUUGACUGAUCCACCGCAAUCGGGGGCAAGCCCCCUCCCAC
rnacentral:misc_RNA from 1 species